rnacentral:lncRNA from 7 species
AGGAAAAAAACACUGAAAUGUAAACUGCAUAGUACAGCUGUGGCACUGUGGCAGAAAUCAUGGCAGAACUUUUGUUACGAUGGGAAAGCAAAAAUCACAGGCAUGUUUCACUGAAGACCUUGUGUUGUUGCUGUCAAUUUCUGUCCAAGCAACCAGGACCGUAAUAUCUACAGACUUGUUUAACACAGUGGGUGGUAAGCUGGAUAGGUAACUAUAGAGAGGGUCUGACUAUAGUUCUGUCUACCAUCCAGCCCUGUUAAUCUCCAGCAGUUGUCAGGAUAGGAUGUUCAGGAAAAAACAAAGCAGGGUGUGGACAGAGCAAUCCCUCUGUAGCAACAGCCUCCCACUUCAGUGAUGAGCAGUUUAGGAACUUUGUGAGCUGGAGGCUGCUGCCAGGCUUUGAUAUCUGAUAGGCACUGACAGAUUUACCCUUCUUGAAUUUGUCUAAUCACUUUCUGAACCGAUGUGAACUUUUGAACUCCACCACAGCAGCGAGUCUCACUGUUUUAAUAUAGAAAAUAGGCUGUGGAGGUAUGGUGUGUGUGGGGAAAACUGACUUCAUUUUGUUUGUUUUGUAUCUGUCAAUGGAUAAUUUUAUUAGCUAACUUGUGUUGCAGGGGAUAGUGAAUAAGCAUUUCCCACUCACUCUCUCCACAACAUCUGUGAUAUCGAAUCUAUCACCCCAGUCAUCUCUCUUUUAAAAUAAACAAACAAGCAAAAAUAGAGGCUGUUUGAUUCUCCAUGGAGAGAGCUGCUCCUCACAUAUUAUCACCCCAGUUGCUCUACUUAGUGCAUCCCCGAGUCCAGCAAUUCCACUGAGGAGCAGCAGCAUCACAACCGCAAGCAGAGCUCCAGAUGGCAGCUAUAUGAGGAUCUAUGAAAUGAAAGGUCAAUCUGAAAAGGAACAAACAGCGAGAACAGAGCAAAAGACUGUAGCUGGGAAACAGCCAGAGUCCUUUUCUUCUGCGUUCUCAUAGCUUAAUGCCUCCACUGGACUGCUUCCGAAGGAGCAGUCUUUCUGCAGGUGCAGUGUUGUAACAGCUGUGAAACAUUAGUCACCGUUUUAUCAGUGUUAAAACGUUCAAGACAAUGCUUCUAAGAGCACUAUCACUCAACAUACUAUCUAGUAAUUCUAUUGCAACAAGUCAGAAGAUUGAAUAAAACCUUCCAUUCAUGUUGCUCAUCUUGUUCUGUACCCGUGACUGGAGAUCAGCAAGUCUGAGUAAACCCCUUCCAGCUGUAAGCUCUGUGUGUUUAUACUGCAACAGUUCAGUAAAUCCAUUCAGCUUCC